UACGUAGGUGGCAAGCGUUGUUCGGAAUUAUUGGGCGUAAAGGGCGCGUAGGCGGCGUGUUAAGUCGGCUGUGAAAGCCCGGGGCUCAACCCCGGAGGGUCAGCCGAUACUGGCAUGCUAGAGUACGGAAGAGGUAGCUGGAAUUCCCGGUGUAGCGGUGAAAUGCGUAGAUAUCUGGAGGAAUACCGGUGGCGAAGGCGGCAUCCUGGACCAUUACUGACGCUGAGGCGCGAAAGCUAGGGGAGCAAACGGG
rnacentral:rRNA from 1 species